rnacentral:rRNA from 1 species
UAAGUUAGAAAGGGCGCACGGUGGAUGCCUUGACACUAGGAGUCGAUGAAGGACGGGACUAACGCCGAUAUGCUUCGGGGAGCUGUAAGUAAGCUUUGAUCCGAAGAUUUCCGAAUGGGGAAACCCACCAUACGUAAUGGUAUGGUAUCCUUAUCUGAAUACAUAGGGUAAGGAAGACAGACCCAGGGAACUGAAACAUCUAAGUACCUGGAGGAAGAGAAAGCAAAUGCGAUUUCCUGAGUAGCGGCGAGCGAAACGGAACAUAGCCCAAACCAAGAGGCUUGCCUCUUGGGGUUGUAGGACAUUCUAUACGGAGUUACAAAGGAACGAGGUAGACGAAGCGACCUGGAAAGGUCCGUCGUAGAGGGUAACAACCCCGUAGUCGAAACUUCGUUCUCUCUUGAAUGUAUCCUGAGUACGGCGGAACACGUGAAAUUCCGUCGGAAUCUGGGAGGACCAUCUCCCAAGGCUAAAUACUCCCUAGUGAUCGAUAGUGAACCAGUACCGUGAGGGAAAGGUGAAAAGCACCCCGGAAGGGGAGUGAAAGAGAUCCUGAAACCGUGUGCCUACAAAUAGUCAGAGCCCGUUAAUGGGUGAUGGUGUGCCUUUUGUAGAAUGAACCGGCGAGUUACGAUCCCGUGCGAGGUUAAGCUGAAGAGGCGGAGCCGCAGCGAAAGCGAGUCUGAAUAGGGCGUUUAGUACGUGGUCGUAGACCCGAAACCAGGUGAUCUACCCAUGUCCAGGGUGAAGUUCAGGUAACACUGAAUGGAGGCCCGAACCCACGCACGUUGAAAAGUGCGGGGAUGAGGUGUGGGUAGCGGAGAAAUUCCAAUCGAACCUGGAGAUAGCUGGUUCUCCCCGAAAUAGCUUUAGGGCUAGCCUUAAGUGUAAGAGUCUUGGAGGUAGAGCACUGAUUGGACUAGGGGUCCUCAUCGGAUUACCGAAUUCAGUCAAACUCCGAAUGCCAAUGACUUAUCCUUAGGAGUCAGACUGCGAGUGAUAAGAUCCGUAGUCAAAAGGGAAACAGCCCAGACCGCCAGCUAAGGUCCCAAAGUGUGUAUUAAGUGGAAAAGGAUGUGGAGUUGCUUAGACAACUAGGAUGUUGGCUUAGAAGCAGCCACCAUUUAAAGAGUGCGUAAUAGCUCACUAGUCGAGUGACUCUGCGCCGAAAAUGUACCGGGGCUAAAUACACCACCGAAGCUGCGGAUUGAUACCAAUGGUAUCAGUGGUAGGGGAGCGUUCUAAGGACAGUGAAGUCAGACCGGAAGGACUGGUGGAGUGCUUAGAAGUGAGAAUGCCGGUAUGAGUAGCGAAAGACGGGUGAGAAUCCCGUCCACCGAAUGCCUAAGGUUUCCUGAGGAAGGCUCGUCCGCUCAGGGUUAGUCAGGACCUAAGCCGAGGCCGACAGGCGUAGGCGAUGGACAACAGGUUGAUAUUCCUGUACCACCUCUUUAUCGUUUGAGCAAUGGAGGGACGCAGAAGGAUAGAAGAAGCGUGCGAUUGGUUGUGCACGUCCAAGCAGUUAGGCUGAUAAGUAGGCAAAUCCGCUUAUCGUGAAGGCUGAGCUGUGAUGGGGAAGCUCCUUAUGGAGCGAAGUCUUUGAUUCCCCGCUGCCAAGAAAAGCUUCUAGCGAGAUAAAAGGUGCCUGUACCGCAAACCGACACAGGUAGGCGAGGAGAGAAUCCUAAGGUGUGCGAGAGAACUCUGGUUAAGGAACUCGGCAAAAUGACCCCGUAACUUCGGGAGAAGGGGUGCUUUCUUAACGGAAAGCCGCAGUGAAUAGGCCCAAGCGACUGUUUAGCAAAACACAGCUCUCUGCGAAGCCGUAAGGCGAAGUAUAGGGGGUGACACCUGCCCGGUGCUGGAAGGUUAAGGAGAGGGGUUAGCGUAAGCGAAGCUCUGAACUGAAGCCCCAGUAAACGGCGGCCGUAACUAUAACGGUCCUAAGGUAGCGAAAUUCCUUGUCGGGUAAGUUCCGACCCGCACGAAAGGUGUAACGAUUUGGGCACUGUCUCAACCAGAGACUCGGUGAAAUUAUAGUACCUGUGAAGAUGCAGGUUACCCGCGACAGGACGGAAAGACCCCGUGGAGCUUUACUGUAGCCUGAUAUUGAAUUUUGGUACAGUUUGUACAGGAUAGGCGGGAGCCUUUGAAACCGGAGCGCUAGCUUCGGUGGAGGCGCUGGUGGGAUACCGCCCUGACUGUAUUGAAAUUCUAACCUACGGGUCUUAUCGACCCGGGAGACAGUGUCAGGUGGGCAGUUUGACUGGGGCGGUCGCCUCCUAAAGUGUAACGGAGGCGCCCAAAGGUUCCCUCAGAAUGGUUGGAAAUCAUUCGUAGAGUGCAAAGGCAUAAGGGAGCUUGACUGCGAGACCUACAAGUCGAGCAGGGACGAAAGUCGGGCUUAGUGAUCCGGUGGUUCCGCAUGGAAGGGCCAUCGCUCAACGGAUAAAAGCUACCCCGGGGAUAACAGGCUUAUCUCCCCCAAGAGUCCACAUCGACGGGGAGGUUUGGCACCUCGAUGUCGGCUCAUCGCAUCCUGGGGCUGUAGUCGGUCCCAAGGGUUGGGCUGUUCGCCCAUUAAAGCGGUACGCGAGCUGGGUUCAGAACGUCGUGAGACAGUUCGGUCCCUAUCCGUCGUGGGCGUAGGAAAUUUGAGAGGAGCUGUCCUUAGUACGAGAGGACCGGGAUGGACGCACCGCUGGUGUACCAGUUGUUCUGCCAAGGGCAUAGCUGGGUAGCUAUGUGCGGAAGGGAUAAGUGCUGAAAGCAUCUAAGCAUGAAGCCCCCCUCAAGAUGAGAUUUCCCAUAGCGUAAGCUAGUAAGAUCCCUGAAAGAUGAUCAGGUUGAUAGGUUCGAGGUGGAAGCAUGGUGACAUGUGGAGCUGACGAAUACUAAUAGAUCGAGGACUUAACCA